UCCAGGCCCUACGGGGCGCAGCAGGCGCGAAAACUCCGCAAUGGGCGAAAGCCCGACGGGGUUACCCCGAGUGCCACCCUCGUGGUGGCUUUUGCCCGCUCUAAAAAGGCGGGCGAAUAAGGGGAGGGCAAGUCGGGUGUCAGCCGCCGCGGUAAUACCCGCUCCCCGAGUGGUGGAGGCUAUUACUGGGCCUAAAGCGCCCGUAGCCGGCCCGGUGUGUCCCUCGUUAAAUCCACGGGCUUAACCCGUGGGCUGCGGGGGAUACUACCGGGCUUGGGGGUGGGAGAGGCGCCCGGUAUUCCCGGGGUAGGGGUAAAAUCCUCUAAUCCCGGGAGGACCAUCAGUGGCGAAGGCGGGGCGCCAGAACACGCCCGACGGUGAGGGGCGAAAGCUGGGGGAGCAAACGGGAUUAGAUACCCCGGUAGUCCCAGCCGUAAACGAUGCGGGCUAGCUGUCGGGGCGGCUACGGGCCGCCCCGGUGGCGAAGGGAAGCCAUUAAGCCCGCCGCCUGGGGAGUACGGCCGCAAGGCUGAAACUUAAAGGAAUUGGCGGGGGAGCACCACAAGGGGUGGACGUUGCGGCUUAAUCGGAUUCAACGCCGGAAA
rnacentral:rRNA from 1 species